rnacentral:tRNA from 3 species
UUCAAACCCAGAGAAGAGUA